ACAGCCACAUCAUAAUGAAAUACCAGUUCCUGUAUUAUCACCAAAGUUAAGCAACGUUGAGCCAGAUCUAGAUGGGUGACCACUUGGGAAGACCAGGUGCUGUAAG